UUAAAUGAAGGAAAACCUGAAGAGGCCCUUUGAGGCAGCAGCUCAGACGCUUCCUGGUUAGAUAUCAAAAGAAAUCAGGAAAAAUGUCAGGAACAGAAAAUUGUGUUUCCACAUAUCUGGUUCAUUGUUGGUUCAACUUCCUGGUGCACGAAGUUUCUCCUGUUCAAACAAGAUUAAUCAGCAAAGCAAUUGGAUGGCAAAUAUUAAAAAUAUGCCUCGUUUUUCUGUCAUUUAACAAAUAAAAUGUCAUUUUGUUGAUAAUAGACAGAAAACAGGGAACAUUUACACAGAUUUAGUGUCUUUUACAUGAGUACCUGCUUUUUACUGCAACACAAACAUGACAACCUGAAAUAACUCCAUUCCAUCAAAGUGAAGAUACUGACUGCUUGUAACAUCUCAACAAAACCCCACUUUAAAAUUACCCCAGUAGCUGGAAGUGGUAAUAUUUUGCUAGAAUUCAAAUUUAGACAGGACAGUUUUAAAUAUUAGACAGAAGCAGUUUAGUAAGGCGCCUCGUCUUACCAACCGCCAAUACUUAAAGCCACCAGGUGGCGCCAACAGCUUGUUUUGUUUUUGCAUUGUAAUACCAGACAGACGUGUUUCCAUAGCAACUACCUUUGUCCUGUUCUGUAGAGAAAACUGUUUACACACUGUAAAUAAAGAGAUCUCCAACAUGUUAAA